GAUGAAGAACGUAGCGAAAUGCGAUAAGUAAUGUGAAUUGCAGAAUUCAGUGAAUCAUCGAAUCUUUGAACGCACCUUGCACCCUUUGGCAUUCCGAAGGGUAUGCUCGUUUGAGUGUCAUUGUACUCUCACACUCUCCGAUCCUAUGGAUUCGGGGAGCGGUGGACUUGGGUGUUGCUGCCUUUCCUUGUGGCUCACCUCAAAUGUGUCAGUGCACCUCUUGGUUGGACAUAGUACGGCGUGAUAAGUGUCUUCGCCGGCACCUCGCAAGAGGGUGGCCGAUCGGGAGCUCUGCGCUUUCAAACCGUCUUCGGACAAUUUCUGACAACUUGACCUCAAAUCGAGUAGGACUACCCGCUGAACUUAAGCAUAUCAAUAAGCGGAGGA
rnacentral:misc_RNA from 1 species